ACAGUUGGAAGAUGCUGAUGUGGUUGCCUGGACACGGCAGCGAGAACCAACCACUCUGCCCAGGGCCCGGCCUCUGGGAAGCUGAGCCAAGGCAGAGUCCUUUCCUCUCCUCACUGUCGUUCAUCAUCCCCUGUGUCCUGUGGCCUCUGCUGUCUUGUGCAGGCAUUGCAGGGCCCCCGACAUCCGCACCCCACUGCCCCCAGGACCAGGGCAGGAGCUUGCUCCCUCUCUCCCAGAGUACCAGGUGGAAGGACAGUGAAACUGAGGCGCAUACGCAGGGAUGCUGGAUCACUGCCCAUGGUUCGCUCCCUGUGGGACUGAGCUCUACCACGAGCUAAAAUUCAGCUGCUUGCUUGGUCGGUUGUUUUUUCCCCAGGACAAGGCAAAUGUCACCCCUUGGCUCAUUGUCAACCAGUAGGAGCUGGAGCAAGACUGCCCAAUCCGUCUGGCACUGAACAGCAAGAUGUAUGGUCCAGGAAAAGGACCAUGUGUUAUAUGAGAGAUGCUUCAUUUGAGACAAAUGACUCAAGGUAAAGCAGUGAA